rnacentral:lncRNA from 1 species
GGGAGUGGAGUGGGGAGAGAGUUUUUGUUUUUUAUUUUUUAUUUUUUAAUAUUAGAUAUAUGCUAAAAUCACAUGUAGGUGAAGUUUAAAUAAAAAAUAGCAAAAUUAGUUUUGUGAAAUUACAUUAUUGCCCAUAAUUCUUUUUUGUGAUAGAAGACUAAAUAGUUUUUCACUCUUUUAGUUGACAAAGAUGAUUUUGUUAAUAUGUAGUUUAGAUUCAUGCAACCUACAAAAUAUAGAAAUAUUAUUUGAUUCAAAAUUAAUUUACUUAUAUUUUACAUAAAAAUAUAGGUGAAUUAUUUGAAGAUAAAAUAAUAAUAUAUGUGAAAUAAUUCACCUACAAAAAUAAAUUGACCUACAUAAUAAACAAUAUUAUUUUAUCCAAACUAAUUUACUUGUUAUUUUUUCAUAUAAUAAUAAAAAUAUGCUCAAUAUAUAUGAUGACACAUACAAAAUAAAUUACCUACAUAAUAAAGGAAUGUUAUUUGAUUCAAAAUUAAUUUAGUUACAAAAUAGAACAAUGUUAUUUGCUCAUUAUAAAUUUGCAUAUAGCUAAUUAAUUUUUAUAAAAAAAUUGAACAUAUUAUGUGUGUGUGCAUAUAUAUAUGUGUGUGUUUGUGCGCGCGCACGCGCAAGUGUGUAAUAUAUUUGAAUGUAUAUCUAGUAAUAUAUAUUUUUGAACGUAUAUGUAGUAAUAUAUAUAUUUUUAAACGUAUAUGUCAGGUGUAAUAAUAUGUGAAAUAAUUAUUUUUUCACUAUAAUUAGGGUGAGUAAUUACAUUUAUUGAUUUAUUUUGAAUUUGUGGUAGAAGUUUUAAAUAGUAUGUAAUAAUAAGUCAAUUAUUUUUCUAGGAAAUAAGAGUUGUAAGGGCUUAUUUCUAAAGAACUCAGCAAUUUCCUUAAUCUACUAUGGUGAGUUUUAAUUAAAGAAGAUGAAAUUUCAAGGGGUAAACUGUAAAGUCAUAUUUUUAGUAAUAAUGAUUGGUCUAAAUGCGUACAUACAAAUCUUGCAUGGGAGUUAGUUCAACUUUGCCCACGCUUGGCAUGUACUCAAGCCUUAGGAAGCUCUCCUAUAUCUACAUUUGCUCAUGUGCCCUCUGCAUUUCCAAGUGGAACGUGGUUCAAAUUUUGGCAAUGGUUGAUUUAUAAAUGUUAGUAAUAUCUUCCCUUUUCUCUUAUUAACAUCAAAUUUGUCAACAUUAUGUGUGGCAUGUACAAAUGUCACCUUCCACAUAAAGAGUUUCAUUAGGUGAUUCAAAUAAGGUGGUCUUCCUAAUUUUUUUUUUAAUCAUAUUACAAAUGGGCACUACUAUAAUGGUAUGUUUUUAUCCAAAAAUUCUGUUAUAUCACAUGAUCAGUGUUGUAAAAAAAAAUUGGUCUUAUGUCAAAGACAUUAUCUACAAGAAGUAUUUUGAAUGAGGAAGUCCUAUUUCUUGGUAGGUAUAAACAAAGAGCCUGCUCGUUCCGUCAGUGAUUUUCGUAUUAAUGUUCAAAAUCAAAAAAAAUGAACAAGGUAAUCAGAGGAAUAGCACAGGUAUGUUAAAACUUUUAACUAUGAUUUGAUAUGUUGCAAGUCCUUUUCAUAUGUUCUGCUCUCUUUUUUAUUUUUUUGUUGGCUCUUUUCAAUUAUACAUGUCCUUAUUUUUAAUAAUUAGUUAGGUGAUACGUGGUUUGAUGGAAUGGAAUAGACCAUGAAAUCCGGUCGCCCUAUCUGAACAUAAUAAGAUUGUACAAUAGACAACGGUCUAUCCGAAUUCAAACGUGAAAAUCAAGAAACAAAAAUAUAAUCUCUAUAUAUAAAGGGAGCUUAGAAUGGCCACGGUCUAUCCUGUACAACAUAAUAUCGAGUCAUACUUGAAUGGCCAUGAGAUCAGGAUCAACAAGGUCCAUGGUAACAAGUUUUUGUCAUUAGUCAGUAUUUAUGAAGAACGAAAAGGAAUUAUAUAUAUUCAUCUAGACAUACACUAUCCCAUAAUCACAUUCAUGAAACCAACAAUUACAUAAAACUCCAACAAGACAUGAAAAAUAAUGCAACAUGUGACUGUAUAUGUAUCUGAAAAACACACCCGACACUUGGUCCUCUUAUGACUCAUAAGACAGUUCAGCUUAAGUUAUCCUUGUACUCUAAACAGAAUGUUUGAGGAAUUCUUAUUGUUAAAACAAAUAUGUACGGAUUGAUUAAGGAAAUGUAAUUAUAUAGUCCAUAUACAAAUGAAUGUUUACAUUCUAAUAGUCAUGAGCAUUCCCAUUGACUUAUUCAAGUUGGGAACUCUUAUUCAUGUAGAUGCCAAAUACCCAACAAAACUAAAAUGAAGAAACAAUUUUUUUUUAAAUACAUUGAUAUUUUUUUACACUAAAAGAAAUGAGAGUUCGACAACAAAAUUUAAAAUUAAAAAAAUAUUCAUUUAAACCCAGUAAUUAGUUUUUUACGCUCAACUUUAAAAUUUUGUCGCACAAACUUUCUAUUUUGCCCUAAAAUAAAAAGAAUUACAAUUAUAAAACUAAAAACAAAAAUCAUAGCAACAAAUAAACCCAAAAUAAAUGAAAUUAACUAAAACAAAACACGAAUUACACUGCUAGUUUGGUAUUGUUGUGUUAUUUAAAAUAAAAUAAAAAAACUACUUCUGUUGUGCUGUGAGAAUAAACAGUUGUAAAAUAAAGUUGUUAAGUGUUUGGCAAACUUUUUUUUUUUUGUAAAAGUGCUUUCAACAAAAAAAAUAGUGUCUAAGUGUUUGGUAAACUUUUAUACAAAUUGUUGUGAAUAUGUUAAAUGUAGGGCUGGUUCAAAAAGGGAUCCCAAAUCUUGAAUCAAACAUUUUUGGGACGGGAAUAUGUUCUAAAUUCUCGAAAUAUUUUCGGGAUUUCGAUUCAAUAGGAAUUUGACUUCUUGUUAAUAGAAGCCCCUGAUUAAUUCAAUUCAAACCUACAGAAAUCAAACAUGCAAAUCCAGAAAUCCAAUCAACCAAAUCCACAUAAAAUUAAUCCACAAAUCCAAAUCCAGAAAUAAUCAAAGCCCUAUAUCGUAAAUCCCUAAUUCAACAUGCAUCCUAAAUAGAAAAUUAAUCCCUAAAUUGUAAAUCCUCAUUCGAACUCUAAUUCAGAGAGAGCUUCAGAGAGGAUAAAGAGGGAGAUGGGUCGAGCCUACAAAUGAGAGAGCUUCGAGGGUUUGAGAGAGAGCUUCUUACAAAAUGGGGCUCUAAGCAAUAGCUCAUUCCUCUCUCUGCUUCCCAACACGAAGACUGCUUCUCUCUUCCUCAAGAAUCAAAACCAAAACAAAAGCUUUGUGCUUGUCUCCCAACAGACAAGGAAUGUACCAUCACAUACCUUUUCCUUUUUAUUUUAUUUUUGUGCCUUUGGUAGUGGGACCGAAAGGCUCCUGCUUUUUACUUUUGUUUUUCCUUUGUUCUUUGUAGAGCUGGGAAGUGGGAACCAAAAGCAAAAUGAAGACAAGGAUUCCGGAAUUUCGGGAUUGCCGAACAAAUGAGAUCUGAAAACCAAUCCUAUACCGAAUAUUUUGGUAUUUUUCGGUACGGGAUUACUAAACUUUGGGAUAGUUUGGGUUUUGGGAUUUUUGGUUUGGGUUCAGGAUUUUUUCGAUUUGGUUUGGAAUUUUAUAGAAUUUUUUCCAACCCUAAUUAAUGACUAAAAAGGAUAUGAUAUAUAAUGGGGUUAUAAUAAUUGUCAAAGAGAAUAAUGUAGAUGCAAUGAUUGUAAUUUUGUAAAAUAUGUGGAGGUAUGUAGAUGCAAUGAUUGUAAUUUUGUAAAAUAUGUGGAGGUAUACUUGUCAUUUGAAAAUUUCAUUAAUUGGGUACUAAUUAUUAUGCUUUGAAAAAAAACUUUUUUUUAAGAAGCAUGGUAGACCUUGAUUAUGCUUUUUUACUAUCAUUGACAACAAUUUUUUAAAAAUCACUUUUUUUUUUGUUUUACCAAACACAUUUGAUAUUCCAAAUUUUUAAUAAGCUAUUUUUAUAAAAGCACCACAAUCCCAAAUUAGCCCGUAAUUAACCAUUACAUCUGUCCUAAAGGCUUAUCUUUAGCUAUGCCCCCUAAAGCUCUAUUUUGAUCUCAUUUUGUCCCAUAAAUCUCAAAAGUCAUUAUUUUACUCCCUGAAAUUCAAAAUUCAUUCCACUUUGACAUAUGUACUCUCUCUUCUCCUUAAAACCUAUAAGUCGUUUCCUGAAACAUACGUGGGAUCCAACACCCAAUAAGACUAUACCACAUAUGCAAUAAAUUUGAUUAUAAAUCUACAUUAUGCGUUAACAUUCAACAAUAAGAGAAUAUUAAGUUUUUAAAAAAAUGAAGAGAUUAAAAAAAUAAAAAAAAUAAUAAUUAGUUUUGCGCACCCAAAUCAAACUCACAUAAGAACUAACAAAUCUAAGACAAUAUGGAACAAGUUUUAAGUUUUAUAGAAACGACUUUCAAGUUUCAGGGAGAAAAUGGGAUCAAAUUGAGUUAUAUGGGGUAAAGUGGAGCGAAUUAUGAGUUUCAGAUAAUAAAAUGACGACUUUUGAGUUAUAAAGAGUAAAAUGAGAUUAAAUUGAGUUUCAAGAGGCGUAACUAAAAAUAAACCUACUUUCAAACAACACUCAUGCGACGGGUGACCAUGGGCCACCAUGGCAACAACGGGGUCCGAUUUCGGUUGUCAUUCAAAUUCAGUCGUUGUAUACUCUCUCUCCAUCAACCUUGGAGGACUUGUCAGCAAGAUCAAGUCCACUUGUACCAUUUUUUUGGAAAGUGAUUUUCACACACUUUUAAGCCUCUUACAUACAUUUAUUUAAUCAUGAUCGUUGAUUUCUUUUUAUUUAUUCAAUCUGAUAACCAUAAAUUAAAAGGAGUGUGUGAAACUCACUUUUUCUUUCUUUUUUUAUUUUUUUUCUUUUUUUGAUUUAUUGGAUUCAAAUUUAUAUGAAGAUUCAUUCUUUAGAAUUUGGGACCAAAUUUUUGAUUGGGUGAAAUCUUUCGAGGAUUUGUAUUGAGUGAAUUUGGAAAUUGCAAUUGGAUUUGGAAAUUGCAGUUCCAAUGGGCAUAGGCAGGUUGCUGCAAGCUUCCAGAUCUAUAGUUCAUCAAUGGUGCCUGAGUAUUAAGCGGUUUCAAAUAAAAAUUUUCCCUAGAAUAAAUAAGAAUUGCAUUUUAUUUUUCAUUGCUUAUGCCAUAUAUCAUCUAAUUAGCAUAUAAAGAAAUUUUGGCAGCAAAAUUUGAUUUUAAAUUUGUGUUGCAAUCUUGGGUUUAUUACAAGAACUUCUAUCGAGGCUUUUAGAGUUUUUGGGUAUGUGGACGUUAAUUUAUUUACUUUUUAUGGAAAACGAUACACACACAAUUAACUUCUCACACACCUAUGUUGAUUUAUUCUCGAUGGCUAUAAAUUAAGAGGAGUUUGAGAAACAAAAAAUUUUGUGUGACAAUGUCGCAUUUUCCAUUUGUUUAAACCAAGGAAGAAAAUAUCGGUAAUAUCGGAAAUAUCGGUAGUCCGAAAACACGGAAAUAUCGAUGGAAAUAU